AUUGAACGCUGGCGGCACGCCUAACACAUGCAAGUCGAGCGGUAACAUGAUUUGUAGCAAUACAAAUCGAUGACGAGCGGCGGACGGGUGAGGAACACGUAGGAAUCUGCCCAGAAGCGGGGGACAACCAAGGGAAACUUUGGCUAAUACCGCGUAAUCUCGCAAGAGUAAAGCUGCCCGCAAGGGUGGCGCUUCUGGAGGAGCCUGCGUCCGAUUAGCUAGUUGGUGAGGUAAGAGCUCACCAAGGCGAUGAUCGGUAACUGGUCUGAGAGGACGACCAGUCACACUGGGACUGAGACACGGCCCAGACUCCUACGGGAGGCAGCAGUGGGGAAUAUUGGACAAUGGGGGCAACCCUGAUCCAGCGAUGCCGCGUGGGUGAAGAAGGCCUUCGGGUUGUAAAGCCCUUUAAGUUGGGAAGAAGUGUACGGGGCGAAUAACCCCGUAUGUUGACGGUACCGACAAAAUGAGCACCGGCAAACUCUGUGCCAGCCGCCGCGGUAA
rnacentral:rRNA from 1 species